rnacentral:rRNA from 1 species
UUAGGAAUCUUCCACAAUGGGGGCAACCCUGAUGGAGCAACACCGCGUGCUGGAUGAAGGCUUUCGAGUUGUAAACAGCUUUUAUUUGCGAAGAAUAUGACGGUAACAAAUGAAUAAGGGUCGGCUAACUACGUGCCAGCAGCCGCGGUCAUACGUAGGACCCAAGCGUUAUCCGGAGUGACUGGGCGUAAAGAGUUGCGUAGGCGGUCUUUUAAGCGAGUAGUGAAAUCUGAUGGCUCAACCAUCAACCCAUUGCUCGAACUGGGAGACUUGAGAAUGGUAGAGGUAGUUGGAAUUUCUUGUGUAGGAGUGAAAUCCGUAGAUAUAAGAAGGAACACCAAUGGCGUAGGCAGACUACUGGACCAUUUCUGACGCUGAGGCACGAAAGCGUGGGGAGCGAACCGG